UCUGGGUCCAUUUUCGUCGGCAGCGAGCACCAUCAUCCCAACCCAAACAGUUUAGCUUUGAAGUGGAGACCACAUACUCGUAUAUCCCGUUCAGCGGCUGUGAGGAAUUUACACAGCUGACCUCAGACUUCCUUCCGUUUUACUAUGGCAGUGACACAUUUCCUCUGAGACAUGGAUCAUUACACAGGUUUCCAGAUCUGCUUUCAAACCCUUCUUUUCUCAAGGACCAUAGGCACAAGGCCUCUACACUAAUGUCAUGGAGUGUGGAUUUUUAAAAGAACAAAAGAAAUGCCCUACACAGCAAAGCUGCGGUUAUGAUGGAUAGGAGCAAAUGGAAAACAUUGCUGGAUGCCCAAUGAAAUGAAAGACUACUUUUGAAAUUCUUUACCAAGAAAGAAAGAAAGAAAGAAAGAAAGAAAGAAAGAAAGAAAGAAAGAAAGAAAGAACACUUUCUGACUGUCUAUCCAGAAUUACAGUUUGUUCAAUUUAAAUCACCCUGUUCAAUGAAUAGUGAAGACUGUAUGAAGUUUAUUUUAAAAGGUUGUUUAAAAUGCAUUCCUAUAUUGAGAAUAUAGAUACUAUGUUUGUUGCUA